AUGCUACCGCCGGGGGAGGGGCUUGCGUCUGAUUAGCUAGUUGGAGGGGUAACGGCCCACCAAGGCGACGAUCAGUAGCCGGUCUGAGAGGAUGAACGGCCACAUUGGAACUGAGACACGGUCCAGACUCCUACGGGAGGCAGCAGUGGGGAAUCUUCCGCAAUGGGCGAAAGCCUGACGGAGCAACGCCGCGUGAGCGAAGACGGCCUUCGGGUUGUAAAGCUCUGUUAUACGGGACGAACGG
rnacentral:rRNA from 1 species